rnacentral:lncRNA from 1 species
CCCACCUACCUACCUGCCUACCAUUCUCUUGUCUAUAGGAUUCCCUGUAUAUCACAGAUAAUCAAACAUGCAGACUGUACUUUCUCAUUCCCAGUGCUGUUUCACAUCUACUCCAACAUUAUGUCCUCAGAGCUACCUCAUGGCCUAGUUAGGCCAGGGUUCAUCACUCCCGUUUGGCAGGUGAGGAACCUGAAGCUUGGAGGAUUUGAACCUGCUACUGUUCUACGAUACCAAGCUCUUCUCCAGUCUGCAUAUGACUUGCCUUUGGAUCAAGUGAGGCUACUCAAACUGGAUCCUUGGCAACUUCCUGACCAAAAACCUCAACCUCAUCAACCUCAUCUUGUUCAAAGGGAAUGUGUCUCUGGUCAAGAAUGUGGAGGCAUCCAGCAAGCACACAGGCUGUUACACAAACACGGAGACCCAGGAUCAGCUGGUCCAAAUGCCCAUCCACACCAGGACAGAUCUCGUGUAGGUGUCCCCUCCUUGCUGGAGUGGCCAGGUGCAACUGAUACAGGCUGGGGCUCCAGUGUGCAGCAAAGGAGCACUUUCCCUGUUUAGGAAACACUUUCAUAGGUCCCUGGUGUCCCCAUGCAAAGUGACUUGCUAAUU